UUUCACACUGCCGAGAAAAGCCUCUAGAUAGAAAAUAGGUGCCCGUACCGCAAACCGACACAGGUAGUCAAGAUGAGAAUUCUAAGGUGAGCGAGCGAACUCUCGUUAAGGAACUCGGCAAAAUGACCCCGUAACUUCGGGAGAAGGGGUGCUCUUUAGGGUUAACGCCCAGAAGAGCCGCAGUGAAUAGGCCCAAGCGACUGUUUAUCAAAAACACAGGUCUCUGCUAAACCGUAAGGUGAUGUAUAGGGGCUGACGCCUGCCCGGUGCUGGAAGGUUAAGAGGAGUGGUUAGCUUCUGCGAAGCUACGAAUCGAAGCCCCAGUAAACGGCGGCCGUAACUAUAACGGUCCUAAGGUAGCGAAAUUCCUUGUCGGGUAAGUUCCGACCCGCACGAAAGGCGUAACGAUUUGGGCACUGUCUCAACGAGAGACUCGGUGAAAUCAUAGUACCUGUGAAGAUGCAGGUUACCCGCGACAGGACGGAAAGACCCCGUGGAGCUUUACUGUAGCCUGAUAUUGAAAUUCGGCACAGCUUGUACAGGAUAGGUAGGAGCCUUUGAAACGUGAGCGCUAGCUUACGUGGAGGCGCUGGUGGGAUACUACCCUAGCUGUGUUGGCUUUCUAACCCGCACCACUUAUCGUGGUGGGAGACAGUGUCAGGCGGGCAGUUUGACUGGGGCGGUCGCCUCCUAAAAGGUAACGGAGGCGCUCAAAGGUUCCCUCAGAAUGGUUGGAAAUCAUUCAUAGAGUGUAAAGGCAUAAGGGAGCUUGACUGCGAGACCUACAAGUCGAGCAGGGUCGAAAGACGGACUUAGUGAUCCGGUGGUUCCGCAUGGAAGGGCCAUCGCUCAACGGAUAAAAGCUACCCCGGGGAUAACAGGCUUAUCUCCCCCAAGAGUUCACAUCGACGGGGAGGUUUGGCACCUCGAUGUCGGCUCAUCGCAUCCUGGGGCUGUAGUCGGUCCCAAGGGUUGGGCUGUUCGCCCAUUAAAGCGGUACGCGAGCUGGGUUCAGAACGUCGUGAGACAGUUCGGUCCCUAUCCGUCGUGGGCGUAGGAAAUUUGAGAGGAGCUGUCCUUAGUACGAGAGGACCGGGAUGGACAUACCUCUGGUGUACCAGUUGUCGUGCCAACGGCAUAGCUGGGUAGCUAUGUGUGGACGGGAUAAGUGCUGAAAGCAUCUAAGCAUGAAGCCCCCCUCAAGAUGAGAUUUCCCAACUUCGGUUAUAAGAUCCCUCAAAGAUGAUGAGGUUAAUAGGUUCGAGGUGGAAGCAUGGUGACAUGUGGAGCUGACGAAUACUAAUCGAUCGAAGACUUAAUCAA
rnacentral:rRNA from 2 species